GAAGAGCACUCCUACGGGAGGCAGCAGUGGGGAAUAUUGCACAAUGGGCGCAAGCCUGAUGCAGCCAUGCCGCGUGUAUGAAGAAGGCCUUCGGGUUGUAAAGUACUUUCAGCAGUGAGGAAGGUGGAUAUGUUAAUAGCAUACUCAUUUGACGUUAGCUGCAGAAGAAGCACCGGCUAACUCCGUGCCAGCAGCCGCGGUAAUACGGAGGGUGCGAGCGUUAAUCGGAAUUACUGGGCGUAAAGCGCAUGCAGGUGGUUUGUUAAGUCAGAUGUGAAAGCCCGGGGCUCAACCUCGGAAUUGCAUUUGAAACUGGCAAACUAGAGUACUGUAGAGGGGGUAGAAUUUCAGGUGUAGCGGUGAAAUGCGUAGAGAUCUGAAGGAAUACCGGUGGCGAAGGCGGCCCCCUGGACAGAUACUGACACUCAGAUGCGAAAGCGUGGGGAGCAAACAGGAUUAGAUACCCUGGUAG
rnacentral:rRNA from 1 species